UGGCUCAGAGUGAACGCUGGCGGCGUGCUUAACACAUGCAAGUCGAACGGAUGAAAUAAGCUUGCUUAUUUCGUUAGUGGCGCACGGGUGAGUAAUGUAUAGCUAACCUGCCCUUUAGUGGGGGACAACAGUUGGAAACGACUGCUAAUACCCCAUAUUCCUUCUUAUCACAAGGUAAGUUGGGAAAGAUUUAUUGCUAAAGGAUGGGGCUUUAUGGUAUCAGCUAGUUGGUGGGGUAACGGCCCACCAAGGCUAUGACGCCUACCUGGUCUGAGAGGAUGAUCAGGCACACUGGAACUGAGACACGGUCCAGACUCCUACGGGAGGCAGCAGUGGGGAAUAUUGCACAAUGGAGGAAACUCUGAUGCAGCAACGCCGCGUGGAGGAUGACGCAUUUCGGUGUGUAAACUCCUUUUAUAAGGGAAGAUAAUGACGGUACCUUAUGAAUAAGCACCGGCUAACUCCGUG
rnacentral:rRNA from 1 species